rnacentral:lncRNA from 1 species
ACAAAUCCAUUUCUUCUUCUCCUUUGAAACUCACGACCGAACACACACUUACACACAUUCGAAGAUCGUGGCCAUUUCAAGUUAGUUUCAAGUCGAUUUAAAAAUUUAAAGGUGAUUCCAUGGUGAUUGCAAAGAGGAAGAAGCUUGUUUUCAUCAAGAAUCUCAUCAUAAAACUCACUUUUGUUCUUGAAAGGUUAGGGUUGCCCAUGUCUCCUAUAUAAGGAGGUCUCCACGUCCUCAUUAGGGCAUGAGAUAUGAGGCAAACACACUUUUUGUAGCUGGAAAUAGAGUAUUCUUGCUCUACCGGCCGUCUCUACAUCUCCACGUUUCUCUCUUCUUGUUUGCAGGUCUAGGAUGAGGCGGAGAAGACGAGGUGUUGCCAUUCAUCACCGCACGAUUAGAUUCUAUCCUGCAAAAUUAGAUUAUGAUGAAUAAAAGAUUGACAAAACUAAUACACAAAGCAUGGUUCGAGUAAAGAUCAAGACAUGAGCUUAGUCUAAUAUCGCUUGUUAGGAUCAUGUAUAAGACUUGUAAGAGCUCAAAUAAUCAAAAGCACAACGAAAAACUUCAAUAACUUUGAUUAAUAAAAACAACGGAUGUGUUCAACAGCUAGGGUUGAUAUGGGUUUUGUGUAAUGAUCGGUGCAUUUUAGGUACACAUUAUUCGAUAUUAAU